CAAAAGUGACAGGUGAGAAUUUAUUUUUGAAUUGGCCAGAUUUUGUGCGAGUUUUGGAGCUUGUACGAAAUGAAACGAAAUGGUAAAUAUUCGGUAGCCUUUUCCUGGUUCUCCUUAGCGAAUUGCAGAAUGCUUGAGGUGACCGGUAAACUUGCUGCUGGGGUGGUUGUGUGGAGAAUCGGUAUGGAGCGGCGCUUAUUUGCGGUGCUGGGGUUGGAGUUGCUACUUUCCUUUGUGCGCUGUUGAAGCCUACCUGUAUCUUGAAUUAUAGAAAAAGUGGCAUACAAAUUAGAUGAACUUGAUGGAAUGUGAAUCCUUCGGGACAAAUCCAAGAGUGGCGUUGAUUGUCUUGGCAGUAAUGGAAGACUUCACAAUUGAGCGUUUCAUCUGCAUAAUAUCUGAAAAGUUGCAGACAAAUAAGUAAAAUAAAUAAAUAGGUAGAUAAUAAAAAGUAGGUAGACAAUAAGUUGAUCAAUUAAAUAAAUAAGAUAAAAUAAGACAAAUAAGUAGAUAAUAAAUGAGUAUGCAGAACCAUGAA